rnacentral:rRNA from 1 species
CCUACGGCGGGCUGCAGUGGGGAAUAUUGGACAAUGGGCGAAAGCCUGAUCCAGCCAUGCCGCGUGUGUGAAGAAGGCCUUCGGGUUGUAAAGCACUUUCAGUGGGGAAGAAAGCCUUGGGGCUAAUACCCUCGAGGAAGGACAUCACCCACAGAAGAAGCACCGGCUAACUCCGUGCCAGCAGCCGCGGUAAUACGGAGGGUGCGAGCGUUAAUCGGAAUUACUGGGCGUAAAGCGCGCGUAGGCGGUCUGAUAAGCCGGUUGUGAAAGCCCCGGGCUCAACCUGGGAACGGCAUCCGGAACUGUCAGGCUAGAGUGCAGGAGAGGAAGGUAGAAUUCCCGGUGUAGCGGUGAAAUGCGUAGAGAUCGGGAGGAAUACCAGUGGCGAAGGCGGCCUUCUGGACUGACACUGACGCUGAGGUGCGAAAGCGUGGGUAGCAAACAGGAUUAGACACCCUAGUAGUC